rnacentral:lncRNA from 1 species
CCAGAUUAAGUUAAUGAUGCAGUACUAAACUCACUCAGGCUAGAAUGGCUCGCCCAAGCUAAAAUAGUACUGAUAUAUCUUGCCUAAGCUAGAUUGGCUCGCUUGAGUUGGAUUUCAUUAAAUCAAUUUUGGAACAGAGUUAAAACAUAAGAAGUUGGACAAAAUUAGGGGGAUUACGAAGGUUACUGGGAAAAAACAAGAAAACUUUGUUCUUACGAGAAGAAUUUGCCCUUCUUAUGCAAUUCAAAUAAGGAAUGAAGAUUGGAGAAGCUAUCAUG